UGGGGAAUAUUGGACAAUGGGCGAAAGCCUGAUCCAGCCAUGCCGCGUGUGUGAAGAAGGUCUUCGGAUUGUAAAGCACUUUAAGUUGGGAGGAAGGGCAUUAACCUAAUACGUUAGUGUUUUGACGUUACCGACAGAAUAAGCACCGGCUAACUCUGUGCCAGCAGCCGCGGUAAUAAAGAGGGUGCAAGCGUUAAUCGGAAUUACUGGGCGUAAAGCGCGCGUAGGUGGUUUGUUAAGUUGGAUGUGAAAUCCCCGGGCUCAACCUGGGAACUGCAUUCAAAACUGACUGACUAGAGUAUGGUAGAGGGUGGUGGAAUUUCCUGUGUAGCGGUGAAAUGCGUAGAUAUAGGAAGGAACACCAGUGGCGAAGGCGACCACCUGGACUAAUACUGACACUGAGGUGCGAAAGCGUGGGGAGCAAACA
rnacentral:rRNA from 1 species